GGUGCUCCCUUCACACCAAUAAACGGUCGAUCUGAUGGGUGGUACAGCUGCUCGUUCAUGGUUCCCACUGUCCCAUCUCAUCAGAGAGAGAGAAGAUCGUGAGAGAGCGAGAGAUGCUUGAGAUGGGCUUGUGGUUUGCAUGACCGAGGAGCUGCCUCGUCCCCUUCGUUGACCGCUGUUUGGAGUGAAGGGAGCUCUGC
rnacentral:pre_miRNA from 1 species